rnacentral:rRNA from 1 species
AUGGGCAGAUCUGCAAUUUCUCAGGCCCUUCCGGUGCACCAGGAAGACGAGGACCUGUUCGAGACCUCCUCCUCCUUCUCCUGCGACUCCGACGACGAGGCCCAGUUCUCCGACGGCGAGGACCACGUCUACGAUCUGUCGUCCAUGAAAGCAGAGCUCUCUGUCAAGAAAGGAGGGUUGUCCAAGUACUACGACGGAAAGUCCCAGUCGUUCGCGUGCAUGUCCGAGGUGAGGUGCCUGGAGGACCUGCCCAAGAAGAGCCCCUACAAGAAGAUCAAGUCGUGCAGGAGCAACAUCGAUCUGGACGGGAACCAGAAAGCCUGCCCCGUACCUGGUUCUCACAACAGCAAAGGAAUGGCCAAGCCCUCUGGAAGCUCUUGCGCGAAUCUGAUGGCCCGGAAUAACAGCGCAAACAUGCUCUACAGGCCUCCCGCGAUCCCUGUCAACAAGAGCGCGUGCCAUCAGUAG